GCCAGACUCCUACGGGAGGCAGCAGUGGGGGAUAUUGCACAAUGGGGGAAACCCUGAUGCAGCGACGCCGCGUGAGUGAAGAAGUAUUUCGGUAUGUAAAGCUCUAUCAGCAGGGAAGAAAAAAGACGGUACCUGACUAAGAAGCCCCGGCUAACUACGUGCCAGCAGCCGCGGUAAUACGUAGGGGGCAAGCGUUAUCCGGAUUUACUGGGUGUAAAGGGAGCGUAGACGGCAAUACAAGUCGGAAGUGAAAUACCCGGGCUCAACCUGGGAACUGCUUUGGAAACUGUAUGGCUGGAGUGCUGGAGAGGUAAGCGGAAUUCCUAGUGUAGCGGUGAAAUGCGUAGAUAUUAGGAGGAACACCAGUGGCGAAGGCGGCUUACUGGACAGUAACUGACGUUGAGGCUCGAAAGCGUGGGGAGCAAACAGGAUUAGAUACCCUCGUACUG
rnacentral:rRNA from 1 species